UACGAAGGGGGCUAGCGUUGCUCGGAAUCACUGGGCGUAAAGCGCACGUAGGCGGACUCUUAAGUCGGUGGUGAAAUCCUGGAGCUCAACUCCAGAACUGCCUUCGAUACUGGGAGUCUCGAGUCCGGGAGAGGUGAGUGGAACUGCGAGUGUAGAGGUGAAAUUCGUAGAUAUUCGCAAGAACACCAGUGGCGAAGGCGGCUCACUGGCCCGGUACUGACGCUGAGGUGCGAAAGCGUGGGGGAGCAAACAGGG
rnacentral:rRNA from 1 species